CUAUGACUGGCCAGUGGCUUCUCAUAUUAGGGUUCAACUCUGUGUUAGAAAGUGAAAACAAACCUUGUGAUGUGAGGGAAGUGUUUUCUGGUUUCGAGAGGAAACGAAGAAAUGCCGACAUACAAGAUAAGGGGAAUCGACGUAGAUUUUCCGUAUGAAGCCUAUGAAUCCCAGCUCGUUUACAUGGACAAAGUCAUUCAAUCACUUCAGGAGAAAUGUAAUGCACUAUUGGAGAGUCCCACAGGAACUGGAAAAACACUUUGUCUUCUCUGUGCUACCUUAGCAUGGAGGAAGAGUUUGGGUAGUUUCACAACUGGUGUGAGCAUGCAGGCUGACGACAAGUCAGAGGGUAAAAAUGACGUUUCAUCGUCACAAUCUGAGUCCUCAAGAUUUUCUACAAUUGUAUAUGCUUCACGCACUCACAGCCAAAUCCGUCAAGUAAUUCAAGAAUUGAAAAGAACAUCUUACAGGCCUAAGAUGGUAGUCCUGGGAUCUCGGGAGCAACUUUGCAUUCAUGAUGAAGUGAAGUUACUUCGGGGAAAAACACAAACAAAUGCUUGCCGAUUACUCUGUCGAAGGCGUGGGAAGCGUCAUUGUAACCAUUUUAAAAAAGUUCCUGAGUACAUGAAGGAUAAUCCCCAGCUUGGAGAAGAACCUGUAGAUAUUGAGGAUUUGGUCAAUAUUGGUAGAAGAUUUGGGCCGUGUCCUUAUUAUUUAUCUAAGGAGCUACACAAGUUUGUUGAUAUAGUAUUUGCUCCAUACAACUAUCUUAUAGAUCGUGGGUAUAGAAAAUCUCUGCAACUUUCUUGGAGCAAUAGCAUACUCAUAUUUGAUGAAGCUCACAACCUGGAAAGCAUAUGUGCUGAUGCAGCCUCCUUUGACUUGCCUUCUUGGCUUCUAACUGCUUGCAUUUCUGAGGCAGAAAGUUGUAUUGACCUUUCAAUAGAAAGAAGAGAUAAAUCAAAUGAUAAGUCACAAAAUCCAGAUGAUUUUGCUAUCCUUAGAGCACUUCUUCUAAAACUUGAAAAGCGUAUUGCUGAGGUGCCUAUUGAAUCUAAGGAGUUGGGGUACACCAAACCUGGGCCUUACCUCUAUGAACUGCUGGCUGAUCUUAACAUCACGCACAAAACUGCUUCUAAGCUCAGGGAUAUAGUUGCAGUAGCCUCAACCCUUCUUGAGGAACAUAAUCAGCAGAAAUCAACUGGCACGGUCUGCAGGUUGGAUAGAAUUGGUGAAAUUCUUGAUAUGGUGUUCAGGGAUGGAAGAACUGCUCAUGCUAAAUAUUAUCGUGUUCACUUGCGGGAGGUUGAGGCUUGGUCUGGCAAUGGUUCGAAAGGCAAGGUGUCAAGGACACUCAGCUGGUGGUGCUUUAAUCCAGGAAUAGCCAUGGAAGACUUUCCUAAGUAUGGGGUUAGAUCUAUUAUAUUGACUUCAGGCACAUUAUCCCCUAUGGAAUCUUUUGCCCAGGAACUGAAAUUAGAUUUCCCCAUUCGGUUGGAAAAUCCACAUGUAAUAACCGCAAAUCAGAUAUGGGCUGGAGUCUUACCAGUUGGUCCUUCAGGACGUACUUUUAACUCCUCUUACCGCACUCGCGAUUCACCUGAGUACAAGCAGGAGCUUGGAAAUGCGAUUGUAAAUUUGGCUCGAAUUGUUCCUGAUGGACUUCUUGUAUUCUUCCCUUCUUAUUACCUUUUGGACCAAAUCAUCGCAUGCUGGAAAAGUAGUAAUGAAAAUUCAACAUCAAUAUGGGACAGAAUUUGCAAACACAAGAAACCUGUUAUAGAACCUAGGGAUUCCUCAUCAUUUCCCUUGUCAAUUAAGGACUACAUGACUACGUUGAAUGACACCUCUGCCUCUGGAGCAAUUUUUUUUGCUGUUUGUCGUGGGAAGGUAAGUGAAGGAUUAGAUUUUGCUGAUCAUGCUGGAAGAGCUGUGGUAAUUACUGGUUUGCCAUUUGCCACAAGCACUGAUCCUAAGGUUCGACUAAAACGUGAAUACUUAGAUCAACAAUCUCGGCCACAGGGAGAACUGUUCAAGGUUUUAACUGGAGAUGAAUGGUAUAACCAACAAGCCUCCCGAGCUGUGAAUCAAGCUGUUGGACGUGUAAUUCGCCAUCGCUAUGACUAUGGAGCAAUUAUUUUCUGUGAUGAAAGGUUUUCACAUCCACAUCGUCAGUCGCAAGUCUCACGUUGGAUACAACCUCACAUCAAGUGUUUCUCAAGAUUUGGAGAAGUCGUUUUCACUCUAACUCGAUUUUUCCGAGAUGUAGGAACUCAGGGUCCUACUAAGGUGUCAAUGUUAGAAGCUAAAAAUGGGGGAAAUAUAGGAGAAAUACUAUCAUCAGAUCAGAACAUGGACAAAUUUCAUAAGGAAAAACUUUUGUCACAUCUGGCUACACCAAUGACUCAAAAUUUCUCUGCUUCAUCUUUGCUUGAUACUAAAAAAGGCUGUACAUCAUUCCUGGGGGAAAUUGUGCCUGCCAAUCGCUCAUCUCUGUUUUCUGACAAUGGCAAGACUGUACACUGUGAAAGUUCAAGAAAUAUAUGUGGCAGGGUUCUGCUUGGAGAAAGGAAGACUCUGCAAUCACAAGAAUGUGACAGGCUUGAUUUGGCUGAUGAUUGUCAACUAGGUGAAAAAUCAAAGGAUACACCAAUAGCUCCUUGUUCUUCCAAGAAGCGUAGAUUUAUAACAGGAGAUUAUGACUUAAAGCAAUAUUUUGGAAAUUCUAAUGAGCAUUCAUCAUCUGCUAGCCAAAGUGCUCAAGGUGGUGUAGAUCUGCGACAUAAAGAUGGGGUGGCCUCUGACAGUCUUGAGUUGAUUAGACAAAAGGGCAAUCUUCCUGAUGAUUUUGUGCCUUCUGUUGGUGAUGAAACCAAAGGAUCAGCAUUCCUUGCUCAGGUUCGAGAUAAGCUUAGUGCUGCAGAAUAUAUAAACUUUGUGGGUUAUAUGAAGGCGCUGAAAACCAAAACGAUGAAAAUUAGUGAAGUUUUACAGUGUAUUUCUAGAUUGUUCACUGGACCUGACAGGCUACCACUUCUUAAAAGGUUCAAGGAUUACAUCCCCGCAAAAUAUCAUUCUUUGUAUGAGCACUAUGUUGAAAAAAAAUAAUCAUGUGAAGACUACUUGAAAGUGCCCUGUUGAUGACUGUCAUGUGAUAAUACUUGAGCUAAAACCAGUUUAUUUCUGGCAAAAAAAAUAAAAUAAAGGCAAGAAGAAAUAACCUCAAGACAAGGGAAAGAGGUUUGAAUGACACCACACUAGUCCAUGUUCACAGCACAUGGGUCCUGCAGUUACUGCUUUUCUACUUUGCAAGACAUAGUGAUCCAGAAAGAUUAGCAAGUACAUGACCUUUAUACUUUAUACAUGUAAUCAACAAUAGAGGAAUUUUGUGCACGAUAAACGUCAUAUUCUAUUUUGUCUUUGUCUUGCAAGAUUAGACCGCAGAGGAGAAAUAAAGACU